GUGUUGUUUUAUGUCGUUUUGUGUCUCAUUUUGGUCACUUUUUUUGCAUCUUUGGCAUAUUUAGUCUCAUUGUGGUCAUUUUUGUGGUUUCAUGUCAUCUCCAGUCUUCUCCUCUCUCCUCUGCUCAUCAUCAGUAGAUGUUUCUCCAUGCUGAAUGGAUCUCCAACAACCACCUCCUCUGUUCUCUGUUUCUGAGCCAUGCUGACUUUAUUUUAUGGGUGAUGAGUGAGAACGUCGCCUUGUUUUUGGUGAACAUUCACAUGACGUGUGAUUUUGAUGAAACAUCUCGAGUUUUAAGCUCAGAAUUGGUUCAUUUUACAAACGGAACCUCACCGAUGAUGCGUUCAUGGACUGUGGGAAAGUUGGAGAGCCUUCUGUUUGGUUCAUUUUGGUGAUUCCUUUAAUCAGACUGUGUGUUUUAAACCGGACGGAGCUUCAGAUGGAUCUACUAAUGGACAGUUGAAGCAGUGAUUCAAAGAUGGCGGCUGCAGUAAAGCGUGGGACGCUGCUGUAAACAAACGGCGUCGUAAAUCAGCGUACAGUGGAAGGAGGGUUCAGGGAUCUCCGCCCAACAUCGCCUCAGCCUCAUUACGACACGCUUUCCUGGCGACCCGGUCAAUUUAUUCACGCUCAGGCCCGCCGAGUCCUGCCCCGGACAUCCGGCGCCGAGCAUGAUCACUGCUCAGCACCGAGACUUGGAGAUGAGCGGCGGGCCGGAGGUGAUGAAUAUGUUAAAACGGGAAGCCCCGAGGAUUUAUGUCCGACACGGAGCUGGGAAUGUAUGCAUGGAGGGCCGGUGUUUAUGCAGAACAACCCACCGCUGAUUAUUUAUGGACUACAGGAAGUCCCAACCUGCAGGACAAACAGUCCGGAAAGUAAAAAAUAAAAGAUCCAAGUCAUGUCCAGAGCAGGAAGUGGUUUCACCUGCCUACUGCCAUCACCCAUCAUAAAAGGUUUGGAUCAACGUCGGACUGUUCCUGUUCAGUAGGUCGACUCAGACCAGCCUUCCUCUGAUUCUGCUGUUUUGCUUGCUUUAAUGUCUCCUUUGCCACUUCCUGUCUGAACAGCUGGUUCAGAUGAUCUCCACCAUCACCUGUCGGGAUUCCUGAUGCUGUCAUCAUUCCCCAGAAACUGUCAUCGAAGUCCUAGUUCUGGUUUCAUGCUGUAGCUUUAAGCUUUUAACUCUAGUGUAAAUUGUGCUUCUUGGUUGUGUAGUUGCACCAGAGUAGUUUGUUCAUUCUGUCACUUUACUUACCGUUGCUUCCUGUGUUUAGCGUAGCUGCUAAUGAGUGCUUUGUGAUCAUGUUUUGUGCAUUAGCUUUAGUCUCCCUGCUAACUUUCAGAGCCCAGCGACGCUCGGUUCUGGUUAGUUUCCGUCUCCCUCUACUUAAGUCUGCAUAGUGUUUGUACUUCCCAGACUGAAUUAUUGUACUAUAAUUCUCAGUCAGUCCCAUAGUUAUCGCCAUUGUACCUUAUUUGCAGUCCUUACCCUUUAACUCUGAUUAUUCAUUGUGCAAUAAACUUUUAAACUCUA